GUAGGUGAGCAUUUCAGGAAAGCAGCACAGAACAAGCUCUGCCGACGACAGACGCUGCACAGCCACACCACGGCUAGAAUCCUCUUAGACUUGAACUUCAGUCCCUCUCAAAGGUCCAAUCCAGAAACAGCUAUCAACAGAUUCUCACAUCAACCAGUAAGUAACCAUCAAGUCAGUGCUUUUCAUCAAGUCUAAUGCACAACUGACUGCAAAAUGCACCAAUAUUUUAUAUUCCACUAAGAAACAAAGAAGAGGAACUGAACUAUCAAUUAUAUCAUGAUAUGCCAUUGAUCCUGAUUCCAAAGGAGAUGUUAAAAUGUGAAAACUGAAUGGAGGAUUAACACAACAAUCUGCACAACCUGAACCACAGAAUUCAGCAGGGAAAAGGGGAGGAGUGGCCUUUCUUGGCCAGGAGGGAAACCAAGGCAGGGAGGACCAGGAGGCACCCUCUGCAGAAGUGUCAUUCAAGAAAGGUUUCCCAACUGUGGAAAGACACUGGAAAGUACCUGGCCCCAGUCCAGCCUCCACCGGGCCAGCUGGUCUGCUGGCCUCUGUGAAUCACAGUUUCACUGGGGCCUGGGACAGCUCCAAGGAGGCAAGCAGGAGGGCCACACUGACUGCAAUCCAGUGUGGUGGAGUUGACAAGGUACCUGUAGAGCAAGGGGGGGAGGGGGUCAAAAGGACCACCACCCAUCCCUGGUGUGCCCCUUCCCCUAUGGUUCCCUGGGAAGUCCCUAAUCACCCUCUUCAUCUAUAAAAUAGCACUACCAAGGCUCACUCCCCAGGCAGCUGUGGGAGAGAAAGCUUAAAUGUAGUUAUUCUACCCGGCAGUGAGUGGAACUCAUACUGCUAUCAGAUCAACAACUGACACAGAGCCUCAAGGGCAGUAGCAUAGAGAGGCAAAAAUCUUGGCUUCUCAACACAUGCUUUAACCUCUCUGAUCCUAUCUCCUCAUCUCUAACAUAGGAAUGACACAGCCCUUUAUCUCCCAGGUACUGUAUGAAUUCAGGGAGAGCUUAGCAACCUGCCUGGCACAGAGAUGUCCUUAGUAUCUCCCUGUGCCUUCAUAAGGUAUGAAUGCCACCCCAGCCAAAUGGGUCAAUUCUAGAUAAAUCACCAUCCCUGCUAAGGCUUCCUCUAUAAUCUUACUUAGCUGUGAGGACAGAGGAAGGCACCACAUUGCCACCAUUAGGGACAGAAUUUAUUGCCUUGUGGGUACUAGACUGGGAACUUGAACAAACUGAAUCAUGUGGACAAGGUCUUGGCACCAAGAGAGCUAGGUUGGAAAAAACACUGCUGCAAAAAAGCAAAAUGUACGCAACAGCCAUGAGAAAGACUUUAAGCUCUGGAAGAGAGUUUUUAAGGAGGGUCUCAUUUAAUGGAAGAAGGGGGGCAUUGAGCAACAGAGAGCCUGGCUCCCAAUCAAGGCGAAUGUUGUCUGCAUGGUAUUAUCCUUAGACCCUGGGGACCCAGGCAAGCUGGGCCUGGCUCCACAAAGAAGCCAGCCAGAGGGAGGGUAAAGUGCUGAUUCACCCGGCAAGAAGAGGUGGUGGCUGCUGAAUCCAUACCUGUGAGACUGUCAGGGCCCAGGAACUGUCGGCCAGGUGCAGCAGGGUAGGUAGAGGCCAACUUGUGGCAGGUAGGUUUUGUAGAUUUCCACCCAGCAUAGAGGGCUGAAGCCAGAUUGUCUAGGUUUAAAUCCCAGCUCCAGCAUCUACUGGCAACCUUGAACAGGUGACUUAAACCCUGGGCCUCAGUUCCCAACUAUAAAAUGGGGAUAUUGGAGCACCCACUGCACAGGGUUGUGGUGAGAAUUUGAGAUCAAGCCCGGUUCAGCAUUUAACACAGGGCUUGCCCACAGUAAACGGCAGCAGCUAUUAUUACUGUCAUUUAGGGGAGGGCUGGAAGCAAGUCUUCCCACCUGCCUGCUCCCUCACUCCCUCUGACUUGGGUCCCACCUUCACAUAGACCUGUUAUAUGUAACUAGACUGGACUGGAUCACAUCAGAGAGGCACAAAGCCUAGGAGAGACUCUGCCUCUGCCACUGCCUCAUGUAGGAGUCUCCUCUCCAGCUUGCCAAGUCUCUCCUUACAUGCCUCCACUAAUGGGGAGUGCUCCACAUUUGGAUAGCUCUGAUCACAAGUCCUCUAGUUGGGGCUGAAAUUGCCUCCCUGCAAACUGCCCUUUAGUGGAAGUGAUUUUUCUGCCAGGGACUUUCCAAUGUCUGGAAUCCACCCAUCCCACAAACGCUAGGAUCACCCUGAGCAUAGAAAGUCCUCCAGGAAGUCUCCCCAGAACUGAGCACACUGAGCAUCUCGUGCAGAAUUGCACUCCCCACAAGAACACACAUACAUAUCUCCAACAACUGGGUCCAUAAGGCAGAAAGUCUUGGAUGUCCCCAGACCGCACACUAAUAGUAGUUCUUAUAAAUUGCCUCACAAAACCCCUGUGAGGCAUGUACUAGCUUUUUCCCAAUCUUAAAAAUUGUGGGGGCACCUGGGUGGCUCAGUCAGUUAAGCAUCCAACUUUGGCUCC